UACGUAGGUGGCAAGCGUUGUCCGGAUUUAUUGGGCGUAAAGCGCGCGCAGGCGGUCCUUUAAGUCUGGUGUGAAAUCUUGCGGCUCAACCGCAAGCGGUCAUUGGAAACUGGGGGACUUGAGUACAGAAGAGGAAAGUGGAAUUCCACGUGUAGCGGUGAAAUGCGUAGAGAUGUGGAGGAACACCAGUGGCGAAGGCGACUUUCUGGUCUGUAACUGACGCUGAGGCGCGAAAGCGUGGGGAGCAAACAGG
rnacentral:rRNA from 1 species